CAUAUCACAUUGCACAGCCAUCUGCUCUCACCCCAUAAAUCGCCCCCUCGCAUUGCAGCUUUCCAAGUUUCUCCGUUUCCUGAGUUUCCCGCAUCCCUCGUCCCUCCUUCUCCAGCUGUGGCUCGUGUUUUUCCAUGGGAAGGUUUCUUUCACUUACUGCAUCUCUAACUUUCUCUUUUUCUUCCUUAUCUGUCCAUGGUGAUGAUCACAACACAUCCCAAUUUAGUCUCACCAGCUAAUUUAAUGUGUUGCUUCUCCCUCUCACAGUCUACAAGGCGGAGAGCACUGAAGCACGAAGUGGAACUCUUUUGCUAUGAACGACCUCACCAAUUAUGAACCUCAUAAUCUGUGUGUGUGCCAUGACAAAGAACAGAAGCAAGAGAGAUGAAGCCCGACGGCCUAGAUUCCACAAAUCAACACACGCAGCCAUGAAAACCCCAGCCCUGAAGGUGAUUUUGGAUCUUUCUAGUCAUAGGGCAUACAGCUGAGGCCAGGCCUACGAAGAAGGGCCUGCCACACGCCUCUCCACCUCCACAGCGGGAAUCCCCACCUGCGGAUCCGGAAGCUCCUGGUUGGCCUGCUGACCCCAUCCAGCCCCUGCAGGGCCCAGGGACUGCCGCAUAGCGCCACCUAGUGACAUCCCGGGAGGCGACCCAGCCCUCCAGAUCUGGCCGAAGAAUGUAAUUGCUCAGGCAGCAGACCACUGGCCUGACCCCAGAGACCCCCUGGCCACACACUGCUUGCUCCUCGAAAUGGGAACUGCAGGCAGCAAAGUCAGCAGGGAUCCAGAGCGCAGACGUUCUCGGCGUGGAGCAAAGCGCUGGAGAAAAGCACUCAGUGGAUGGGGUUUCUUUCUUCUUUUCUUUUUUUUUUCCGAAUCACGUUGAUUGCAGUGCAGCCAGGCUGAGAAGGGUAUGCUUGUGCUCCCAUGCAGCUCACACAGACGGCCCUGGUCACCACCAGAACUCAUGCAGCUUCCCGCCCCGCAUCUGACUUCCUCAAGCUCAGGCAGGCCUGGACAAUACCACACGAGCUGUCACUAAAGCUCCGAAGCCACGUUUUCUAGAUUGUCUUGAUUUCCCCAGAUAUUUUGGGUCCAGGCCUCACAGCCGUUCAACCACAGGCUUUAGAAUUGAGCCUGGCAUUUCAUAUCCUGUUCCAGUUUUCAAAAUAAGUCUCUCCUCUGGAGAAAAAUAUCGGCCUCCUUUAGAAGCUUGGGCCUGAAUUUGCUGCAUUUCUCUCAAGUCAGGCAGGGGUCCGGACCAUGUUCUAUGAUCUUUCACCAAGCUCUGGGGAAAUCUUUCCCCAUCCUACCUUCAUGAGCAUGGUGGCAUAAGAUGGACACUGUCCAGGAGAGGCUGCAGGAAUCAGCCCCUCAGGGCUGUGUGUCUCGGCCUUGGACUGUAGCUCUGGGUCAACUGAUGCAAGGAGAAUUCGUGCUUUCAACAUCUCUUCCCUGUUGAAAUCUCUUCUGGAGCUCCUAAUAAUUAGCCAGGGUUGAAAGCCUGACUUCACUUUCUUCUCUGUUUACUUGGUGACUGGUUUACAUGGUGACUGGUUUACACACCAGCCAUGUGAACAACCUGUCAAUAAGUAGAGUCAGGAAUCAACUGCCUCAAAGUUUAAUAAUUCGUACCACCCACUAACAUCUACUGAGACUCUACUGUGUACAAGUUCAUGAUGGGAAACAAAAGUCGAGAUGCCAAAGACCUGUCCUCAGGGAGCUUCCACUCUAGGAGGGCAGAGUCCAAAACAAAUAAACAAAUGUAGCAUCAGGUCUUACGGAAUUCCAAGCUGGAGAGCAUUAGCAACUCUUGAGUGUUUCCUGGUAGAGAUGGUGUUUGAUUUGGCCUUUGAAGGACAGGGAGGGAUUGGCACAGAGAGGGCAUUCCAGGGAUUCUACUGAUUAUUUAUUAGGCUGAUUGAAGUUACUUGGGCGAGUUCGGUUACCUCUCCCUGACCACCAAAUUCCCAACACUUAAGUGUUGCAAUGGAAGAAUUGUUUUCACAAUUCUUCAGAAAAAUUUUGGUUCUGGUAUAUGCAAAUCACCCAUGUUGGUGAUAAGAAAGAAAGGGGUUGGGGUAAGGAAGAAGAAGAGGAGGUAAAUUGGGCUUGGAGCAACUGUAGAGAUUUUUGCAGUAUGACAUGAGCAAAAAAAUUUAAAAGGACGAUGGUAGAACUUCUGUUUCUGCAAGUGUGAAGGAGCCGAGACGUAGCUCUAGACCCCACAGAAGCCAGAAGGGUGAGUCUGUAACUGGGAAACAUGAGGUCAGAAACGCAUUGAACAUUCUGAUGAAAUGUUUGGAACAUCUUAGAAGAACUGGGUGGGACUGUGUGCUUCAUGGCUAGACUGGAAUUCAAGUCCUGGGUUUGUUGCUCAGAGAUUUGUAACCAUAGGCAUGGGACCUAAAAUGAUGAGCCGCCAUUAACUCAGUAAAAUUGGGAUCGCAGUAUCCACAAUGCAGAGAGAGUGAACUGAGGAGGUACCUAAUUCCAGAUAGCCACUACUGUUAUGGUUGUUAUUGACCAAAAUAAAAAAAAAAACAUAUAUUUAUUAUGUGUAAAAUAUAAAAUAACUUGAUGUGUAUGUCAUUGAAACUUUUGGGAGGACCAUAGGGAGCUCUUUCCAAAGUCUACAAUGAUCCAGGCAUGAAAAAUUAAGAUUGUUGUUCACAGCAACCAGUAUUACUAAUUAAAGGUGGAUGAAAUCACAUUGACAGUCUGUUUAGCGGGUCAGUGUAAGAAUUUUCAUGGAACUGCUCAUGACCUGUUUGACUUUGUUCUUUGACUCUGUUCUUCCCAUGAGCUGUGAAUUACAUUACCCUGAAGAUAAUGGAUCAUUACCUGGAAAAAUUCCCUGUGGUUUCCCAUUGAACUUAAGAUUAAAAAAUACCAAGUUUUUUGUUUUUUUA